rnacentral:rRNA from 1 species
AUAUAUCGGAUCGCCUGUGAAAGCAGGUUUCCCUUCGGGGCUGAUAUACAGGUGCUGCAUGGCUGUCGUCAGCUCGUGCCGUGAGGUGUUCGGUUAAGUCCGGCAACGAGCGCAACCCGUAUCGUCAGUUGCCAGCAGGUAAAGCUGGGGACUCUGGCGAGACUGCCUGUGUUAAGCAGGAGGAAGGCGCGGAUGACGUCAAGUCAGUAUGGCCUUUACGACCAGGGCUGCACACGUGCUACAAUGGGGGGUACAAUGGGAUGCGAUGCCGCGAGGCGGAGCAAAUCCACAAAACCUCUCUUAGUUCAGAUUGCAGUCUGCAACUCGACUGCAUGAAGUUGGAAUCGCUAGUAAAGGCGUAUCAGCUACGACGCCUUGAAUACGUUCCCGGGCCUUGUACACACCGCCCGUCACAUCAUGGGAGUUAACUGCACCCGAAAUCGGUGAUCCGACCUGCAAAGGAGGAAGCCGCCUAAGGUGUGGUCGAUGACUGGGAUG